rnacentral:lncRNA from 10 species
AGCCUUGCUGCCACCUUGCAGUUUGAUCUCAGACUGCUGUGCUAGCAAUCAGCGAGACUCCGAGCCAGGUGUGGGAUAUAAUCUCGUGGUGCGCCGUUUUUUAAGCCGGUCGGAAAAGCGCAAUAUUCGGGUGGGAGUGACCCGAUUUUCCAGGGCAAUCCUCAUGCUCUCACUGUGCUCUCAGCAAGAACACCUGGGAUUCUUCAGCCUUGCCAUGUGUGGAGAACAGCCCAAAAAUAGGCCUGCUAAGACUUCCAAGAUGGAUUGCUAGACUUUGUGAGUCACCUCUGAAACCAAAAGCUCUGUGCUUUGUGAUUUUUGUUUGCAUCAUUAGGAUGAGGAAUUUCAGCAAACCUAACCACAAUUACCUGUGACUAAUCUUAGCAGAUAUAAAAGCAAGUGUUUCCUCUUUCAAACCCACAUAAAUAUACAAAAGGCAAAUAAAACCUUGAAUUGGAUAACCCAUUCCCAGCUAUUCUUCAAUAAAAUAUUCAUAAAACAAAAACUUUGCAGUAUAAAUAUGGUAUUCUACUAAAAAUGCAAAAUAUAUUUCCCAACUUGGUGCAGCUUUGUAAAUAUACAUUAACAUUCAGUGAGAGUAAAGAAUAAUUACAUUUCAU